GGCCUACGGGACGCAGCAGUGGGGGAUAUUGCACAAUGGGGAAACCCUGAUGCAGCGACGCCGCGUGGGCGAAGAAGUAUUUCGGUAUGUAAAGCUCUAUCAGCAGGGAAGAAAAUGACGGUACCUGACUAAGAAGCCCCGGCUAACUACGUGCCAGCAGCCGCGGUAAUACGUAGGGGGCAAGCGUUAUCCGGAUUUACUGGGUGUAAAGGGAGCGUAGACGGACUUGCAAGUCUGAUGUGAAAAUCCGGGGCCCAACCCCGGAACUGCAUUGGAAACUGUAUAUCUAGAGUGUCGGAGAGGCA
rnacentral:rRNA from 1 species